rnacentral:tRNA from 1 species
ACUUUAGCUCAGCUGGUAGAGCAACUGAUUUGUAAUCAGUAGGUCACUGGUUCGACCCCGGUAA